rnacentral:rRNA from 1 species
UACGGAAGGCAGCAGUGGGGAAUAUUGCACAAUGGGCGCAAGCCUGAUGCAGCCAUGCCGCGUGUAUGAAGAAGGCCUUCGGGUUGUAAAGUACUUUCAGUCGUGAGGAAGGUGUUAAGGUUAAUAACCUUAGCAAUUGACGUUAGCGACAGAAGAAGCACCGGCUAACUCCGUGCCAGCAGCCGCGGUAAUACGGAGGGUGCGAGCGUUAAUCGGAAUUACUGGGCGUAAAGGGCACGCAGGCGGUUAAUUAAGUUGGAUGUGAAAUCCCCGGGCUUAACUUGGGAAUGGCAUUCAAGACUGGUUAGCUAGAGUCUUGUAGAGGGGGUAGAAUUCCAUGUGUAGCGGUGAAAUGCGUAGAGAUGUGGAGGAAUACCGGUGGCGAAGGCGGCCCCUGGACAAAGACUGACGCUCAUGUGCGAAAGCGUGGGGAGCAAAC